ensembl:lncRNA
CUUAACUUUAGCUGGUGGAACAACCGGUUACUACAGCGGAUCUACAACAGUGUUAAACAGGAAGAGGCCUUAGUGCUUCAUAUAUGUUUAAUCAGUGAAAUUGUUAACCGCAAUUAACCACUGAAGAUAUCCGGUGUUACAAAGGUGUCGUAAAGGGAGAGCACAGUUGUUGUUUUGGUUUCACUACCGGUUAGCAAACCAGCCUAGAGACGCAAUACUGCCACCUGUGGGCCACGAUGUGUAGCUAAAAUGUCUGCAGUGUGGACAUAUUUUAAAUUAGAUAAACAGCUGUUUGUCAUAUCGAAGCCGCAAAACUUUGGAGAGGAUGUAGUAACGGAGCAUGAUAGUAUUAGAUUUAGAAUAUUAAAUGACUACGAUCUGUAUCUGGGAAAAAAAAAACAUGAAUGGAACAUCCCUAAAAACAUCUGCCGCCAUCGGGUUCAUCUUCAGUCCGACCUCACCGUCUUUAGCUUUUAGUGGCCUUUCUGUCAGCACGUCUCAGUUAAUGUUCACCAGUCGGCUGACAACAUCCAAUCACUGCUUCAGCUUGAUUUGUUUUUAUGUUCUUCUACAGACUCCAUGUUAAUGUGUUGUUCCAGCUCUUCAUAUCAAACCAAACAGCUUCAUGUUCUGAAUAUCAGGUUUAAUUCUGGGUCUUUAGCUUUGUUUGCCAGCAGAGUUUUUUAUCAUCUGUUUAAUGUGGAGUCGCAGCAAAAACUGGGAGAAUCUGGUCCAUAUCUCUCAUUGUUUGCUUCCAUAUCGAGCCUUUUGUGUCUGAUUGAAUUACUGUUGCUGGUCCAGAAUCACCACCUCUUCACAUCCCUGCGCUCAGCACUGUACAUAAACACAUAUUUAUUUUUACGAACAGACUGAGAUGACGUCAAACAUUCGACUGAUGCUGCAUCGCAGAGGGGAGUUUCUGCUAUUUAUUCAGUUUAUCUCUACACGCUGUGCACAUUAAUCCACACAGACGCUGAUAUGCAGCUCAGAUUAUGUUUCACUCUGCAUCACUUUUCUGGGGGAAGCAUCCAUCACACUCUGGUGUCUUUAAUACAAAACUCCCCGAGAGAGAUAUAACAUUUCAGACUCAUCGCAGUCGACUUUUAUCUCCUGGGAAGAUUCAUACGCCACCGAUCCAGAAUUGGAUUGGGCCAAACCAUCUCGUCUCUCUGCAGGAGUCAAAUUGUAAAGUCCCAAUAAAAGCAGCGCCAACUGACACAUGAAAAUAAUAAGCAGCUGGGACCAGAUGGAGACUCUGGUUGUGCUGCAGCGUCUUCCCUCAUGCAUUACAGUAAUGUCGGAGCCGUUGUGUUUAAAUGGCCUCUUUCACAGCUUGGUUCGGGUCACAUCAAUGACAGCGGCAACGUUUCCUUCGUUCUGCUGCUGUUCAACACAAAAUCGACUCUCAGCCAGAGUGUGAUGGAUGAAAUUUCUGUCCAGAAAACCUCUGCAAGGUUCUACAUGCCUCUAAACAUUAUGCAAGUUCUUCUGAGCUCCAGCAGAGGUGUCUCAAGGUUCACCUGGAGCUGCAGGUGUUAGAAGGUUCACCUGGAGCUGCAGGUGUCUGAAGGUUCUCCUGGAGCUGCAGGUGUUAGAAGGUUCUCCUGGAGCUGCAGGUGUUAGAAGGUUCUCCUGGAGCUGCAGGUGUCUGAAGGUUCACCUGGAGCUGCAGGUGUUCCAGGUGUUUCUGGAAACUGUCUGUUCUUGAUUUGUGCCUUUUUAUCAACAGUUGAGUUCUUGAACGUCGCCUGUCUUGAUUGUUUCCAGCAGACCGAACUCUGCUUCGUACACUGGAUGAAUCACAACCUUCAUUCUUCUCAUCAUCUUCAUCUUUGUGUUUGGACACUGUUGCCACGGCAACGACGCAUGACCACUUGCUGUUUCUGAUUAUUUAUCAGUGAUGGGCUGUAUUGGGGAACGAUCAGCAGCGCUCCUGCCGAUGCGAGGACUCGUCCAGCCGUCCUGAUGCCUUCUCCUCCCUCCUACCUUGUAAUUAAGAGAAGACUUUUAUAGAGGUCACAGAUGAAAUAGAUAAAAUGCCAAUUUUGUAAGAAUGAUUUAUAAAAAAAAA